AAGCUGCCUUGUGCACCUCCCAGGGUCUCUGUCCAUGAGGACCCUCCGUGCAGCGCCAUCUGUACCAGGUUCCAUGGCUGCGUGCCAGGGGUUGCAGACCCGAGCGGCCUCACGCCGUUCCCAGGGUCUGGGCUGCGUGCACCGCUGCAUGCACCGAGUGGUUGGAGAUCCAAGCUGCCUCAUGCAGCUCCCAGGGUCUCGCCCCAUGCACCGCUCCAUGCAUCUCCAGGGACGGAUGCCAUCCACUGCUCUGGGUCCAGCAAGAUGCGUCUUCGAGGGGCUCUUCAGGGCAACUGGAACUGCCCCGCUGGCCUGCUCACGCCAGCUCUUCUUUGCCCCACUCCCUUCUCCAUCCCUCAAUGCAUCUGCCAUGUGCUGGGCACGCUGCUCCUUUUAUACGCUCUGGAGGCUCCACCCCUGGAGUGCUGCUGGAUCAGCAAAGUGUAGGCUUCAAUCAGGUCUGGGGCUCUUCGCUCCCCCUCCCCCACAGGCAGGGCAUGGGGUAAGCCCCUCCCAGCAAUUACCUGAUUGGUAGAUGUGCUCCACCAAUCGCAGCAGAGAUUCUCCAAGCCCGGGUAGGCUGGGCUGCAAUGGUAAGUCUGCCACAUAGCCUACUGUGGACUGGUAUUAGGCUAAUGCGCAGUAAGCGUCACUAAAUAACCAUGUGCCAGCACUACUGCGCAGUAACUUCAUGUUCUGCACAUUUAGUUAGUACAGUCAGGCCUCGAUUUACACCGUGUUUUUGCAUGGUUUCAGCUAUGCACGGUUAAUUAAUUGUGACCCUUUAUUUUUGUACACAGUAUGGACUCACUUUUACACAGUGCAGCAUGAUUGCAGAUGCGUCUAGGAUCAGCUGGUCGUUUCCUCCAUGCUGCUCUCAGUGUAGCCGUACAGAUGCUGAUCCCCACUUCUCUGGAUGUAGGAGCACAACGGCCGGCCUCCCGUCCUACCGAACAGAUGCUUCGCACGAGGGGGUGCAUUACAUUGGUGGGAAAGUAGCGGGUUUCGACUUUCCGACGCUCGAUCCAAUAACAUCGUUCCUAUGGGAAAAUCGGUUCCAAGUUACGAUAUUUCGACUUAAGACGAGACUUUCAGGAGCCAAUUGUGUCGCAAAGAGAACCUGGACCGUCAGGCCUGACUAUAAAGCCGGUGGAGUGAGUUGUACAUGAUGGAUGAAAUGAAAAACCUCUGCUAAGUACACAGCAAACGCAGGGGCUGCGGUGCAAUCGAGGCCACGCUGUGUGCUUUUACAGCAGAGGUCACGUACUAGGUUUAUUUUGCCAGCUCUCGAGGAUCCGGGGCAGGUGGCACAGAGAGUAACGGCAGAGCGCUAGAAUUGCCGAUCUCGGGUCUCUCAAAUGCAUGCAGAGUGAAAAUACCUGGAUGCUUAUAACUUCUGCCCAACAUGUUUCAACCCCAGCACCCUGUUCUCUGCCUGGGAUACAGACCCUGCAAAUGCUUAGAAGUAUUGUGUUGCUUUUGGUUUGGCUUUUGUCUCAUGAAUAACUCUGGAAAAGGAAACUCUUUCUAUCUUAUGUUGAUUUUUAGUCUGCAAACUUGAGGGGUUUCCAUUCCUUUCUUCUCUAUAGGUGUCUGAGAAUUCACAAAGGGGGAAGGAAAUACACUUCCAAAGUGUGAUACUAGAUGCAGAACAGAUGCCAGUGUCUCAAACGAGGUUAUUUUUGUGCCAACUGCGGCAGGUUCUCCUUUGAGGCUUUUCUGCUAAUAAAUUAAAGUAACACCGCUCACAUGCAGCAUUGCAGAAUCAUUUCAAAGGGUCAGGGAAGAAAUGAGAUGCAUGCUGUGCCUCCCAGCACUCAGUUAAACAUCUCAAUUAUUUGCAGUCUGAUCAUACUCGGGAGACCUGCCAGGAAAAUGGGAUUUCUGUUCCACGGGGAAGGCUAACGCUCCGGCAUAUUCCUGGGAAUGAAAAUUGUGAUCCUUUUCAGUUCAGGGCCAUCAGAUUACUUGGUAGUUAACUUCUAAUUUUGAAUAUAGACAUUGAAAAUAAUUGAAAUUGAAUUUUGAGAGUAUUGGCGUGAAACAAGCAAGCUGAAACGACGCGUUCUCACUUUUUUUUCCCCUUGAGACGUUCAGUCAGGAUGGGCACAUUGCUUUGCCACAUUUCUGUUUUGACAAGGAUGCUUUUUCUGAUGAGCAAGUGCUCUGUCGAAAUCUUUAUGCCUGGGUCGAAUACUCAGUUCUCUAGGCUCACUUCCAUCCAUGGCCCUUUUCUGUACAAAAUCCCAACCCUCCUUUAUUGAGUACCAGAUGAAGCCUAACGAAAUCCCAGAUGGAGAGAGACCUGAGCAACGCUUGUGCUUGUGCAGAGACCGGCAGCAUGGUUCAUAUCUUGACUGUGGUCUCUCUCUGUGUUUACCUCUGGCUCAGGAAGACAGUAUAAUUGUUUGCAGGAGAUUUCUCCCUUCGGGACAGGCAGGAAGCCAUGCUGGUUGGUCCUGUGCCCUACGCCUAUUCCUUUAGUACUGGGCACAUGGCUGUAUCAAGACAGUGGUGUUUCCUGGCGGGGAUGCCCCUGAGCACUGGCCAGCCACCCUGUCUUGAAACAUGCCCCGAACUUGGAGAUACUUUGGGGUCAAUCCUCUGCAGCAGCUCCCGAGACCUCAUUCCUUAGCGUGCUUGAGAGCAACUGCCCUGCGGUGUCUUCACUGGGGUAUUUCCAGGGCCGGCAGCACCAGGUGAGUGGAGCCUGCUUGGGGUCAUCCCAGCUAGGACAUACAGAUGCUGUGGUGCACAUAUACCCCGAGUCCCAGAGGCCAGGUUACACCAGAUAGUCAAGGCUCCUUUGAGGCACGUGGCCCUGUGCUGCAUUCAUGCUUCCUUUGCAAUGCAUUUGACACCCACCAUGGUCCAUGACCAUACUCAGGUCCUUCUACGAGGGAUCUUCUUCUGAUGUGCAAUGAGGAAUGGAGGGUAGAAGAGGUGUUAUCUGGGUCUGAUGCAUGGGCAUCCUUUGGUGGACACUUGGUUGAUGCUGAAUCUUUUCAUCUCCUAACAGGUCUUCCUCCUCACUGCGUGUUCGGGGUGCAGUCUAGUCAGACUCAACCCCACGCCAGGUGGGAGCUUCCCAGGGGCAUUCCCGUGGGCUGGUUAAGCCUUUGCUUUGCAACUCUCCUGCGGGAGCUGAGAUGGCCUAAGCGGGCUGCAACCAGGUUCGGAGCCUGGGCUGAGAUGAAGGACCCGCUGCUGCAUUUAUCCGUUGGCAUCUUGGCGGGCACGCCUUGCAGAGCUCCCUGGAAUCGGAUAUUUAUGUGCGACCUGGCUCUGCCUUUCCUUGCGUGCUUUGGAGCCUAGUGACUGUUUGGUAACGAUGGCAAGACCCUCGUCCCGUCCUUGUGCGGGUCCCCUUCUGUGUAGUAGCAAGGGCUCCCAGGGAAAACACGCGUCUCGGGAGGGUUGACACGCUGUCUGCAAGCGUAGAAAGAGCGACAGAAAUAAACGGUGCUGGCAGCUGUCUUGUUGAUGAGGAUUUCGGCACAGAUUAGGGACACCUUCCAUACAAAAGGCUCCCCCCGUCAGGUUAGCUGCAUGGAUCGGUGCUGAUACAAAACAGUAGCGAACGAAUAAAACCCAAUUGAUUGCUUGCUGCUUUGUUCUCAUUACCAACUUCCCAGCUCUUCCAGCUGUCUGAGCUAUUUGAAGCGGACGGUAUUAUUUUAAACAGGGGCUUUAUCUUGUUCUGUACGAACGAGGAGGGAAGAUAUUUGAUCCAGAUAAAUCUGUGCUAAGAUAAGGCACGAACAGACAGGAGCAAGAGGGUGCAGUGAGGUGCUGUGAUGGGAUCUGGCCUGCAGAAGACACACCGGACUCUCCCCCAGAUCAACGUGAGUUCAGUCUUUGGGUCUGGCUGGCCCUUUAGGGGAUGGGCCAUGGUUAUACAUGUCUGUUCAUGAUCCCCAGCUAGACGUGGGCGCACAGCCUGUCUGGGGCUCUGCUCAAGGCCAGCGGGACUGUCCACAGGUGGCAGGGGCUUCCCGGGAGCAGCCAGUUUAGCAGGGAUUGGGAAAAGCAUUCCCGUUUCUGCAGUACUUUUCAAAGAUUUUCAUUUACUUUUGUUUUCUAUCAACAUUUUUAUUGUAUUUUUCAAGUUUUUUCUUAAAAAAAAAAAAAUUCUAUGAUUUUUGUGUUUAUUGUUGAAACCUGGGAGGGGGAAAAAAAAAAUCCUCAGAAAA